UUGAGCCCCGGGCUGGACAGAAGGGUGACCUGACAGAGUGCAGGAGGGGGCAAAGGCUUGGAGGGAGCAUGCGGGGGAACUAAUUGGACCACCAUUGCAUCCUGGUUCGGCCGCUGACUAGUUUAAAAACCUUUAGAGUGCCUCCGUGCCUCGAUUUUGUCAUCUGUAAAAUGGGAAGUAUAAUAGUCUCUCCCCGCCCCCAUAGGUUUGAUGUGAGAAUUCAAUGACCUGCUAUUUGUAAUGCAUUGAAAGAACGCCUGUGACGUGGCAAUCGCUGUGCGUGUUACUUCCGUAUAUGGUUACGUAUUUGUUUAGGUUUACGUUAACAUCGAAUAUUUGUAAGUCACAUAGUUACAAAUUACCAAACGCCACAGACUUGUUAAAUCAUAAAGGUUUUUGUUAUGACACACGUUAUUUCUAGUUAUUAUUUUUAAGUUUAUUUUUGAGAAAGAGCGAGAACACAAGUGGGAGAGGGGCAGAGAGACGUACAGAGGAUCCCCAAGCAGGCUUCCCACUGUCAGCGCAGAGCCCCAUGCUGGGCUCAACUCACCAACUGUGAGGUCAUGACCUGAGCGGAAAUCAAGAGUUGGUUGCUUAACCGACUGAGUCACCCAGGCACCCCUCUAGUUAAUUAUUUAGAAGGCACAAGUAUAGUUCAUUUCAUCUUUUUUGCAGCAGCACUGAAGGGUAAGCUCUUACGCUCAUUUUCCAAACGAGGAGGACUAAGAGGGAUAAGAGUACACUCAGUUUGGAGGUGGCAGGAUGGGCUCUACCCUACUGAGGGCGUUGCAGUGAGCUAGACAUGCUGACACUAGCCAGACUCAAUGCACAGCCUCCCUUGACUCCCAGAUGCACCAGAGUUCUCUGUCUUGUUAACUACACUCCACUGGGCACAGCAUGGGGUCCAUCUCUGUAGCAAACCUUGAGGUGGGUACUAUUAUUCCAUUUUUACAGCUAAGGAAACUGAGGUUCCCAGAAGCCCCUGCCCUCAAGAAUCCAAGCUUUAACUUGUUUUUGUUUUUGUUUUUGUUUUUGUAAAAAUGUAAUGUAAUAAAGAAUGAGAAUUUAUAAGAGAAAUGAACAAGGUGCUGAGGUUGAGAAUGAGAUGGAAGUGACAUCCGGUUAAGCGUGGUGAUCAGGGAAGGCCUUGCCCAGGAGCUGAGACAUGAGGGAUAAAGAGAAGCCCAUGGGGGAAGGAGAGGGUCAGUGGCAGAACAACCUGGGCAGCAAUACAGCAGCUACUGGUCACAGUAUUUAUGGGUAUUUCAGUUAAUUAAAAUUAGGUAAAACUUAAAAUUCUUAUGGUGAGCACUGAGUAAUGUGUAGAAUUAUUGAAUUACUAUAUCGUACACCUGAAACUAGCAUAACACUGUAUGUUAACUCUAUUGGAAUUAAAAUUUAAACAAAAAAAAAAAACUCCAUUUGGGAGUCGUAUUUCACGUUUCAGCCACGUGCUCAGUGGCCAGCCGUAUGUGCCUAGUGGCUACGUUAUUGGACACUAUAGAUUAUAGAACCUUUCGGUCAUCUCAGAAAGUUCUUUUGGACAGUACUGGGAGUGUCCAAGGAACAGCCAGGAGGCCACUGUGCCUUGGAUGGUGAGGAAGGCAGGGAAGUUAACAGCAGGAAGAACAUACAGGGCCUUAUGGGCCAUAGUAAGUUAGGUGGAUUUUACGCUCUGGCUGAUGGGAGCCAUAAGAGGGUUUCAGAUAAGGGAGGGACAUAUCUGAUAUGUUCAUUAGGAGAUCACUCCAUCUGUUGUUUGGAGAUUGGACUGUUGGCAGAGCGGAAGCAGGGAGACCAGGAAGGAGCUGAAUCUGGCGUCCUGGCGAGAGGUGGCCAUGCCUGGACCAGCGUGGGCAGUGUAGUGGUAAGAAUAGGUGACCCAGCUCCUGAGUGGACACUGGACACCCCUCGCUGCUCUGGCUGGACUCGCGGAUUAAGCAGUCAGGAGUCUUAUGCUUUGUCUCUUUGUGUCUCUGCCGCCCUUCCCUUGCUCUGCCACCCCCCACCCCGGCCCCCAACUUUUGAUUUGCUCGGCCCAGUCACAGACAAGUUCACUGAGAGUGUCUAUGUCCUGGCCAAUGAGCCAUCCGUGGCCCUGUACCGGCUGCAGGAGCACGUGCGCCGCUCUCUGCCUGAGCUGGCCCAGCAUAAGGCUGACAUGCAGCGAUGGGAGGAGCAGAGCCAGGGAGCCAUUUACACAGUGGAGUAUGCCUGCAGUGCUGUGAAGAACCUUGUUGACAGCAGCGUCUACUUCCGCAGCGUGGAGGGUCUUCUGAAACAGGCCAUCAGCAUCCGGGACCACAUGAAUGCUGCCGCCCAGAGCCACAGGUAGCUCCGGGACCACCCGCUCCUGCUCUCAGCCUCCUCGCUCCCUGACGAACCACCCCUGCCCUCCUCAGCUUGAUCCCGGAAGAGACUUGGAGGUGCUUUGGCCCCUCUGGCUCAGGCCGCAGGCCCUGUCUCGAUCCUGUGUUCCCCCUGCCAAGACAGAAAGGGGAGCCCACGUUUGGUUGUUUUACUCCCACGCGUUCUCUCAGGCAGAGCCCAGCAUGAUGGCUACCCACCCAGCUCAGGAAUCUUCGCUGCACUGCUGGCCAGCUGUGUGACCCUGAGAAAGUCCCUCCCCUCUCUGGUCUCUGCCUUUCCCUUCCGUCAGAGUGGUUCAGCAGGCAGCAGAGGGUGCUGCUGCAUAGUGAUGUGUGUUGUAGCAAUCAGCUACUGCUGCAUGACAAACUAUCCCCAAACUUAGUGGUUGACAACCCUAGUCAUUUGGCUGCUUACAGUCCUGCGAUUUGGGCUGGGCUCAGCUGGGCAGUUUUUCUGGACUUAACAACUAUCUGGCACUCAUCAGAAUUCAAAGGGGCUCAUAGUCAGAGGUGGCCUCGCUCACACAUCUGGAUCUGGACCCGUGCCGUCAGCAGCAGGGGAUCCGUUCCCCUCCGCGUGGCCUCCCCAGCAGGCCGACCUAGGCUUCUCCUGGUGACCGGGUGCCCAGAGGGCAGCCCCCGUGUGCCUGUGCCCAUCCGACCUCUUCUUGCUUCACACCGCGGAUGCUCCAUUGGUCAAGGCCAGCCACGUGGCCAGGCCAAGAACCUGAUGGGAGAGGACUGCAGGAAGGCCUCAAUACCGGGAGGUGUGAUCGACUGUGUGAGGAGAGCAUGGUACCAAGAAAGGCCUGGCACGUUGUUACUCGGCGCCCAUGUACGGCCGACCCCGGCAGAUCGGCGGCAUCUGAGGGACUUCUGAGCUCUGGCUGUUGUAGUUCUCAAAGCCCCGCCCAUUUGCCAGCACUACGAUGGCGCUCUGUGCCACAGAGGCCCUCUCAGAGGGCUUGGGAGGCAUGAGUGGGAUGGGGCCUCCACAGCCCCCGAGCCACAGUCUCCAGAGACAAGAGGCAGCAGAAUUCAUGUGUAUGCAGUUGAAGUACUUUUUGAGCACCUGCUGUGUGUGUGCCAGGCUUAGCUCUCCGGCUGGGGGUAGUGAGGAAUCCCGCUGGCUGUGGGAUUGCCUAGGGAGCAUCUGGGAGGACUUGGGGCAAGAGGGGCUACCAAGAGGGUCAGCAACUCAUCCCAGUGGCCCACACAGUGUUGCCCACCAGCCCUGGGCCUACGCCCCACCAUCUCUCCACUCCCUUCUCCUUGCCCUCGUCACUCCCACCAUCCAGCUUCAAGGACACCACCCUGCUGCCCUCCCCACACCCUGUUGUCAUCUGCUGUCCCUCUGCUGCUGCGCCCCCUUGGAAUAAAAUUCUCUGUGGCUUCUCCUGA